rnacentral:misc_RNA from 1 species
GAAAUAAUUGUUUGUUCUUCCUUAUAAUGUUCCAAGUUGUUACUGGACUAUGGAUUUUCUCACUUAUGGGGAUUCACUUCCUUCUCAUGAUGCUGAUCCUUGGACUACGCUGCGUUUAAUUUUCUAAUAAAUCAAAAGAACUAGCACUGUUAAUUGUUAGAAUGUUCUCCUUAUGAAUUUUGAAAAUGACUCCAGAAACUACCAGCUAAUUGACUACACAUGUAGGGGUUGAUUUAGUGCUUCCAACAGGAAGAACCAUGUUUUGAUGUUGGCAUUGCAAAGGUGUCUAGAAUUGCAUACUGCAUUCUAAUAUUGGAGAAUUUGGGACAGGGAUAUUAUUUAACUUUGGCUGAAGUAUAAAAUGAUGAGGCAUUAGCAAUUUACACCCAAAGU